GCUACUCUAAGGACAUGCUAAUCUAUCACCGAUGUAAGGUCCUCCUGGUAAGAGCGUGUGACCUCAGCUGAGGAACUCUUUUCAGCUGAGGACAAUUUUUAGAAAGACCGAGAGCUGAGUGCAGAAAGCUGGCAGCACGUCAGCACUAAGAGGGGUAAGUCUUCCCACCUCAGCCCAAGCACCUUGGGCUUCCAAGCACUCCUUGCGCUGCUUAAACCUACUUUCAGGGACCAGACAGAUUCUUGGGAAUCGUGCUGAUCCACCUUCCAUGGCGGAAUAUUAUAAGAGAGUCUCGCUACGUAGUCUAGACUAGCCCUGAAUUCACUGUGUAUUCCGAGCUGGUCUUGAACUCUAUCCUUCUGCCUCAGCCUCCUGAGAGCUGGGAUUACAGAAUUUUAAAAAGAAUUUAAACCACAUGAAGUGAUCGGAAAGCUCAAAAUUUUCACCAAAGCAAGAAGACCUACACUCAAGUUUUAGAAGUUAUUCUUGGAGAAAUGCUUUUUUGGGUUUAUAUCAUUUCGUCAGCAGAUGGCGCUCUUACCUUUGUGCAUCUUUAAGGGGUGCUUGGGCUGGGCCUCAGGAACGGUUUCCCUGUUUUUAUUCAAACGCAGUUUUAUAACAAAGCAACAAAACCAUUUUUACUGUGUUUAGCAAAAGUGGAUGAGUAGAAAAAACCGUUUCUAUAGAUGUCCAUUCAAUGGUUUGUUACUAUGUGAAAUAAAGAUCCAUAUGAAUAAAAACUUCUCU